GUACCGUUGUAUAAUUUUACAGUCAUUUUAGUAUUAGAAAAUAUAGCAAAAAAAAUAUAAAGCAAACAAAUAAGAGAAAGCAAAACUAUUUUAUAAUCAAUUUUAUGUAUGUAGUGUGGUGCUGUGUGUGAUUGUAAAACUUAAAAUAAGAAAAAUUAUUUAAGAAUGCAAAAAUAUAUACACACAUCACCUAUUAUAAAAUAUUAAUUAAUAUUUAAAUAUAAUAUACUAUUAUAUUUGCGUACAUAAUAUUAUAAUAAUGUGAAUUUAAUUAAAAUCUAACAAUAUCUUUAUUUUUUUUUCACUUUCUUUAUUUAAUUUAAAAACAAAAAUGUGUAUUUAUUUAAUUAAGUGAUUUUUAUUGUAUAUAUAUACUAUACAUAUAUGAAUAUGCACACAAAGUUGCAUACAUAGAAAAAAAAAUGGGAAAUAUUAGAUAAAUACGAUAUUUAAGCGAUAUAACAAAAGAUAAGAACAAGAAAAAUUAAUUUUUCUUUUUCGUAAAAAUUUAGAAAAUAAUAGUUGUAAAACAAUCUAUACGCUUAUUAAAUUUUCUUUUAAUUUAUUUUUAAAAAAAUUUGUAUAUAAAUGUACAUUUUAUUGUACAUGUAAUUAUAUAUUUAUAUACAUUUUUAUAUCUUAUAAAUGAAAAAAUAAGAGCAAAAAAACGAAAAUAUAAUAUAAAAACAUGGAAAAAAAAUAUACAUAUUUACUUUAUGUAUAUAAUCAACAUCUUAUCGAUUUUUAUACAAAUAUGGCGGCUUUCUAUUGAAUUUAAGUAUGAUACGGUUACACUACUACUACAUUAUUACUAUGUAUUUAUAUUUGUAUGUUGAAAUAUAAAUGCAAAUAUACGGCAAAAUACUAGCUAUGUAAAUUAUACAUACGUAUAUGCACAUAUAAAUUUUAAACUCAAAAAAAAAAAAGAAAAAAAGAAAUUAACAAAAAGUAAAUUUUCAAAAGUAAAAAAUUUAAAAAAAUUCUUCAUUGUGUUUCAUUUUGAAAAUAUAAAAAUUUAAAAUGAGCUGUUAUACAAUUAAAUUUUUACAAUAUAAAUAAUAAUAUUUAAAUUAAAUAAAAAUAAAAUUAAUAAUUUACGUUUUUUUUUUAUUAAUUUUAUCAAUAAUAAUAAAAAAUAACAAAAAAAUAUAUUAUAUGUUUUUGCACAUACAUACAUGUAUAUAUUUAUUACACCUAUGUAUAUAACAUAGUAUUGCAAAACAUAUAAAUAAAAAUUUAUAUCAAUAUGUAUACUUAUAUGACAAGCGAAUGAAAGAAUGUAAAAACAGAAUAGAAUAAUAAUAAUUGUUAUUCAACGAAAAAGGAUUAUAAAAUAUAUACAUAAAUAUAUAUACAUUUAUAUAUUCAAACACACAUUUAAAAAAUAAAAAGAAUAAAAAAUUCCCUGUUCUUGUGCAAAGGAAUUUCAUUUUAAAGUUUUUGGAAUAUAAAUUUGAAUAUACGAGUAAAUAAGAAAAAAAGAAGAAAAUUCACUUAACAGAGAAAAAGUGCAAUGGGAAAAUGCUCAUAUACUCGUACA